rnacentral:rRNA from 1 species
GAUGAACGCUGGCGGCAGGCCUAACACAUGCAAGUCGAGCGGAGCGGCGGACGAGUGAGGAAUGACUAGGAAUCUGCAUGGUGGUAGGGGAUAACGUACGGAAACGGGAGAUAAUACCGCAUACUAGCAGAUGAGCCUAGGGCGGAUUAGCUGGUUGGAGGGGUAAAGGCUUACCAAGGCGACGAGCCGUAAGUGGUCUAAGAGGAUGAUCAGUCACACUGGAACUGAGACACGGUCCAGACUCCUACGGGAGGCAGCAGUGGGGAAUAUUGGACAAUGGGCGAAAGCCUGAUCCAGCCAUGCCGCGUGUGUGAAGAAGGUCUUCGGAUUGUAAAGCACUUUAAGUUGGGAGGCGUUACCAACAGAAUAAGCACCGGCUAACUUCGUGCCAGCCGCCGCGGUAAUAC